CAUAACGACUCUCGGCAACGGAUAUCUCGGCUCUCGCAUCGAUGAAGAACGUAGCGAAAUGCGAUACUUGGUGUGAAUUGCAGAAUCCCGUGAACCAUCGAGUCUUUGAACGCAAGUUGCGCCCCAGGCCUUUAGGCCGAGGGCACGUCUGCCUGGGUGUCACG
rnacentral:rRNA from 1 species